UCUUGAAACACGGACCAAGGAGUCUAACAUGUGCGCGAGUCAUUGGGAACUCAUAAGCCUAAAGGCGCAAUGAAAGUGAAGGUCGGCCUUGCGCCGACCGAGGGAGGAUGGGCCGCGUCACGAUGCGGUCCCGCACUCCCGGGGCGUCUCGCUCUCAUUGCGAGAAGAGGCGCACCCAGAGCGUACACGUUGGGACCCGAAAGAUGGUGAACUAUGCCUGGUCAGGACGAAGUCAGGGGAAACCCUGAUGGAGGUCCGUAGCGAUUCUGACGUGCAAAUCGAUCGUCGGAACUGGGUAUAGGGCGAAAGACUAAUCGAACCAUCUAGUAGCUGGUUCCCUCCGAAGUUUCCCUCAGGAUAGCUGGCACUCGUGUGUUCUUACUGAACUUAUGCGAGUCUCAUCUGGUAAAGCGAAUGAUUAGAGGCCUUGGGGUCGAAACGACCUCAACCUAUUCUCAAACUUUAAAUGGGUGAGAUCUCUGGCUUGCUUGAACGUUGAAGCCACGAGAUUUCGGAUCAGAGUGCCAAGUGGGCCAAUUUUGGUAAGCAGAACUGGCGC
rnacentral:rRNA from 1 species